CUAGAGUAUUCUAGAGCUAUAAAUAAUCAUAGUCACCGUGAUAGUGCCCUUUUUAGUCAAUGUAGUCAAGUCAAGAUAGUGGAACGUAAACUCGAAGGUUUAAUACAAUACAGUAUAAGUAGAGUCUAUGAUUAUUAACAAGUAGAACCAUGCCAACCAGUUCUGAUGAUGUACCAGAAUGGCUCAAGGAUCAUACUUAUACUAUUUCUACUCUCUGGGCAUCCAUUCAAUAUUUAUUUUAUGUUUGGAAAUGCAAGAAAAAGGCAUGCAUUCCUGACAAGUCAAUGAUUGGUUGCACCUCUAAAAGAUAACUUUCUGUUAUGAGAAAAGAUGAGCUUCUUGGACUUCUGCAUAGCACCACCAGAAAGGAAAAUCCCAUCAUGUUGCAAAAUAAAAGUCGUGGACCAAUUUUAAUUUAAGAUAUAUAUAUUAUACUGUAAGCUCUAUACAUAUUUAUGUAUAUCCUGUCAUUCAGCCAACAGGUUUGGAUUUAGUAUUUCUUUAAAUCUGUUUGAUAUUGUACUUGAAAACUAUUAAUCUGAGCCCCAUUAAAACAAUAGGGAGUGCAGUGAAUGAGUGGUAAAGCACUUGGCUUCUGAACUGAGGGUUCCUGGGUUCGAUUAAGACUGGGAUUUUCAAUUUCAGAAUUCAAAAGGCUAGGGAUACAUGGCAAUAGUAAGGAAUAAGUAAAGGCAGUUUGGGGAUCUAUGGCUGAAUGGUUAAGUCAUGGGUUUGAACCUCUGUGAAGACUCAGAUUUAAAUUUUUUAGAUUUUUGGGUGCCCCUGAGUCCACCUAACUCUAAUGGGUAGCUGACUUUCGUUUUGGAAAGUAAAGAUGGUUGGUUGUUGUGCUGGCCACAUGAUGCAUUGGCCAAAGAAUCAAAUGACCUUAACAUCAUCUGCCCUUUAGAUUGUGAGGUCUGAAAUGGGAUUUUUUUUUCAAAAGGUGGUUGGUUGUUGUGCUGGGUACAUGACACCCUCGCUAACCAUGGGAACUGAUAAACUUUAUAUCAUCUGCCCCAUAGAUUGCAAGAUAUGUAAGGGAAAUUUUACUUUUUUAAAAUUAAAAUAAGAAUCUAACAAAAGUAAACAUAUAAAAUAUGGUGCAUUCUCCUUAAAACUAAAACAUGGUGUGAAGGUUUAAAAUGUUGGAAAAAAAAACCAACAUCAUAUAUUCUUAAUUCCCUUUGCAAAACUUACUGAGAAGAACAUGCAUGUUGUUCCCUCAUAAGUUUCUUGACAGAGGAAAUCUUGUUUAUAUAUUAGAUUUGAAUUAAGCAAAUUAAGAAAAAAAUUAUAAUCAUUAUUUCAAAUGGUUGCAUCUAAACCUUAUGAAUUAUUUUUCAGUUAUAAGUAUAUUGAGAUGAAUGGAUAAUCAUGAAAUUGUUAAAUAAUUGCUGCUAUCAUUCCAUUGACUAAAGAACCAUACCAUAAUUAUUUUUUUUUUUAAAUUAAUUUCAAAAUGAUUUUUUUCAAGCAUAGAGUUCACAUAGAUCUUGAGUGAAAUUUUUUUUUUAUUUGACUAAUGCUUCAAUUUUAUUGUAUCAUAUUAGUUUUUAAUUUUUAUUACCCAGAAUAUUUAAAAAAUGAGUACACUAUUUUCAUGUAAUAUUGUAACUUGUAAUUCACACAAUGCUCAAAAUACGCUAUAAUCUUUAGGCCAUACAGAUUUGUAUAAAUUAACUUGUUUAAAUACAUUGUAAAUGUAUAUUGUUUGGAUAAGAAUAAAGUUUUUCUGUAGACAA